CCAAAGGGUUUCUGCUCUGAAUAGCACAUGGACCAGGUGGUUGCGCUUUAUCCGUGCGGAAUCGAUGUCAAGAGAUUUUGGAAGCACAAUUUUUGUUUCUUGGAACUGCUGGUGUUUGUCUCAGCGCGCCG